ACGUCCAUGGUGAAGUGGUUAUCAUGCUUGCCUUCCAUUGUGAAUGUCAGCAAGCGGCACGGGUUCGAUUCCCGUUGGGCGUA